UCAGAUUCAUGAAGUUUUACUCAACUUCCAGGGCAUACCAAGUUGUGCUCAACAAGUCGGCGCCCGCGAGUGUGGCUAUUACGUUAUGAAGUUCAUGCAUGAAAUAGUCACGUUACACCAUAACUCUGAUGAGCGGUUAGAUAAUGCUUACACUCCAAGAAAUGCGCCUUAUACCGAUGAGGAAAUAGAUGUGGUUCGUGAGCAAUGGGCUAAGUUUUUUACAACCGAGUAUUUAUUUACUUAGGUUGUUUAGACACAAAGAUGGAAGCGUUUAUAUCUUCAUGGAUUUGGUAAAGUUCUUUAAUUUUUCCAUAAUUACAAGUCUGCUGGAUUUGCUAAUUUAUUGCUUUGAAUACUAAUAUGCUGGUCUUGCUGCUGCUGUGAAUCUAUUGAUGUGUAUGAAUAUUAUGCUAUUAAUGACUGCUGCAAUUCUGCUUGCUGCUGUGUGUUUCUCCUAUGUUUGCUUCUGUUGCUGCUCUGUAUGUAAUCAUUUGGCCUAUUUGGGAAAUUCUUCAAAGCUUGAACCAGUUUGCUGCUGCCCGUUUUAACAACUAUGUUAUCCACCUGAUGUUGCCUAG